CAACACACACGCGCUCAGACACAAACACAUACGCACGCACACAGCACGCUUAGCAGGACUACCUCCUGACACACACAACACACACACUGUGAGGUUGGCAGGACCAGAGAGCGAGGAGGAGACGGUUAAUCAUUCGGCAGACGUAGGAAUUUCAACAUCGAACACUGGCAGAAAAGAUUCCAGAAGGAGACACAAGAGCUGAUGGAAUUAUCUUUAGACCUCUAUUUGUAUCUAUUGAUAAUUAUUUGAUAAUCCUAUACGAGAAAUCCUAUACAGAUUUAUAAAGGUUAUUCAUGUGAAAUAAUAGGGAGUCGACGUAGGACGUCCUCUCGAUUUCCACCGGCUGCCCCUGACGAUCAUACAGCGCCAGGACGAAGUGGAAGAAGUUGGAUUUGCGCAGGUUAGAGGGAGGCUGCUUCUCAUAGUGAGCUCGGGCCAAACCUACAC